rnacentral:rRNA from 1 species
AACGAACGCUGGCGGCAUGCCUAACACAUGCAAGUCGAACGAGACCUUCGGGUCUAGUGGCGCACGGGUGCGUAACGCGUGGGAAGCUGCCCUUAGGUUCGGAAUAACUCCCCGAAAGGGGUGCUAAUACCGGAGAAUGUCUUCGGACCAAAGAUUUAUCGCCUUUGGAUGGGCCCGCGUUGGUUUAGCUAGUUGGUAGGGUAAAAGCCUACCAAGGCGACGAUCCAUAGCUGGUCAGUGAGGAAGAUCAGCCACACUGGGACUGAGACACGGCCCAGACUCCUACGGGAGGCAGCAGUGGGGAAUAGUGGACAGUGGGCGAAAGCCUGAUCCGGCAAUGACGCGUGAGUCAUGAAGGCCUUAGGGUUGUAAAGCUCUUUUACCCGGGAUGAUAAUGACAGUACCGGGAGAAUAAGCUCCGGCUAACUCCGUG